rnacentral:rRNA from 1 species
GACGAACGCUGGCGGCGUGCUUAACACAUGCAAGUCGAACGGUAAGGCCCUUCGGGUACGACGAGUGGCGAACGGGUGAGUAACACGUGGGUGAUCUGCCUGCACUUCGGGAUAAGCCUGGGAAACUGGGUCUAAUACCGGAUAGGACCAUGGACUUCACGGUUUGUGGUGGAAAGCUUUUGCGGUGUGGGAUGGGCCCGCGGCCUAUCAGCUUGUUGGUGGGGUAAUGGCCUACCAAGGCGACGACGGGUAGCCGGCCUGAGAGGGUGUCCGGCCACACUGGGACUGAGAUACGGCCCAGACUCCUACGGGAGGCAGCAGUGGGGAAUAUUGCACAAUGGGCGCAAGCCUGAUGCAGCGACGCCGCGUGAGGGAUGACGGCCUCGGUUGUAACUCUUUCAAUAGGACGAAGCGCAAGUGACGGUACCUAUAGAGAAGCACCGGCCAACUACGUGCCAGCAGCCGCGGUAAU